GCGAGCUGGGUUUAGAACGUCGUGAGACAGUUCGGUCCCUAUCUGCCGUGGGCGCUGGAGAACUGAGGGGGGCUGCUCCUAGUACGAGAGGACCGGAGUGGACGCAUCACUGGUGUUCGGGUUGUCAUGCCAAUGGCACUGCCCGGUAGCUAAAUGCGGAAGAGAUAAGUGCUGAAAGCAUCUAAGCACGAAACUUGCCCCGAGAUGAGUUCUCCCUGACUCCUUGAGAGUCCUGAAGGAACGUUGAAGACGACGACGUUGAUAGGCCGGGUGUGUAAGCGCAGCGAUGCGUUGAGCUAACCGGUACUAAUGAACCGUGAGGCUUAACCUU
rnacentral:rRNA from 1 species